rnacentral:rRNA from 1 species
UACUGCUAUCGGGGUCCGACUAAGCCAUGCGAGUUGAAUGUCCGAAAGGGCAUAGCGCACUGCUCAGUAACACGUGGACAACCUGCCCUGAGGACUGGAAUAAUCCCGGGAAACUGGGGGUAAUUCCAGAUAUGUCAGAACUCCUGGAAUGGGUUCUGGCAGAAAGGCUCCGGCGCCUCAGGAUGGGUCUGCGGCCUAUCAGGGUAGUAGUGGGUGUAACGUACCUACUAGCCUACGACGGGUACGGGUUGUGAGAGCAAGAGCCCGGAGAUGGAUUCUGGGACAUGAAUCCAGGCCCUACGGGGUGCAGCAGGCGCGAAAACUUUACAAUGCGGGCAACCGCGAUAAGGGGACCUCGAGUGCUGGGUUACAAACCUGGCUGUUGGGCUGCCUAAAAAGCAGUCUAUAGCAAGGGCCGGGCAAGACCGGUGCCAGCCGCCGCGGUAACACCGGCGGCUCGAGUGGUAACCGCUAUUAUUGGGUCUAAAGGGUCUGUAGCCGGCCGACUAAGUCUCUUGGGAAAUCUGGCAUCUCAAGUGUCAGGCUGCC